CCCUGUCCCUUCCCCAGAGCCUCUGAGGUGUCUCUCCAGGCCUGAGGCCCACGGCCAGCAGGAACAGGCCUUAUCUGCCCAGUGAGAUGAUAACUUUUUCAAGGAAAGGACUUGCUGUUUAGUAGUCCUUUGACUCUUCCACGGCACCUAACUUGUCCUGUUCUCAAACAGGAGCUACAGGAUGGGACAGCGACUCAGUUUCCGUCCUCUGCUUACCUGUGUAUAUGCCUACAGCAGAGCCAUUCAUCCUUGUGUUGUGCCUGCCCUUAGUCGCUAAGGGCCGUUACCAUUUCUUGUGAAAAAGAAGACAACCCAGAAGCUUGCUAUUCAGAAGGCUGUGUCAGACGCAUUCCAGCAACUGUUGAAUGUGG